UCACUCAACCUGCCGGUGUCUGAUGCAAA
rnacentral:sRNA from 1 species